UCAUGGCUAGCUGUGGAUUAGGAGUUCAAUGUGAAGAUGACUGGAUCUUGUGGAGGCCCGGUACAUUCAGGCGACACUUGCCACUCGAUUCAGUGCAGAAGACUGUUAACAGUUCCAAGGAGAUUGCACAAGCUGCCACGCCACAGUUCGAAGCGCCUGGCCCUGGCCUACAUCUACAUCAUCUGCCACAGAGUGAUGAGUCUGAUCCCCAGAGACACCACCUGAGGCACACCUGCCAUACCAUCUGCCCACUCCCAUCCUGUGAGCCAUAUCUUCCGAUACCAUGGCGACAAAAGCCCUCAAAGCUCAUGGAUGUGUUGCGGUGAAAAGGAAAUGGGGUAAGGUCGAAAGAAAGCUUACAGAUGGUUCGGCAUAGUUGUUGGUGAUGUACCUCCAGUAAACACCCUGAAGGACCUGGGUAGACUCCAAGCUGAUGGAAAGUCGCCGAAGGACCAUUGUUCUAGGACCAAUAUUCCUCUGUCUUUCAAGAACAGACAGAGCCCUUGGAAAUAUUGUCCGUCGCAAAAGAUGGUUGUGGUCCUCUCGUUUACCCCAGCUUAGAAACAGAGUU